GGUGGACGCUGGCGGCGUGCCUAAUACAUGCAAGUCGAGCGAACGGACGAGAAGCUUGCUUCUCUGAUGUUAGCGGCGGACGGGUGAGUAACACGUGGAUAACCUACCUAUAAGACUGGGAUAACUUCGGGAAACCGGAGCUAAUACCGGAUAAUAUUUUGAACCGCAUGGUUCAAAAGUGAAAGACGGUCUUGCUGUCACUUAUAGAUGGAUCCGCGCUGCAUUAGCUAGUUGGUAAGGUAACGGCUUACCAAGGCAACGAUGCAUAGCCGACCUGAGAGGGUGAUCGGCCACACUGGAACUGAGACACGGUCCAGACUCCUACGGGAGGCAGCAGUAGGGAAUCUUCCGCAAUGGGCGAAAGCCUGACGGAGCAACGCCGCGUGAGUGAUGAAGGUCUUCGGAUCGUAAAACUCUGUUAUUAGGGAAGAACAUAUGUGUAAGUAACUGUGCACAUCUUGACGGUACCUAAUCAGAAAGCCACGGCUAACUACGUG
rnacentral:rRNA from 1 species